UAUAAGUCAUAUAUUGUCCCCACCGCUUAAAACUAAUAACCCUUCACACUUCAGUAAAGAAAAUGCACACGACUUUAAAAUAAAAAAGAUAUUCGCGUACUUCAUCUCUUUUCUUUGUCCACCGCCUUCAUAACUCAACCACUCAAUAUAGUUCAAUUCUUUUAUCUUCCAUUGUCUAAGAAUAAAUGACCAAUAUCUUACUUCUUCAUUCAUUAUCUUCAUCAAAAUUACUCUCAUUUAUAUGUCACGUGAAGGAGAAACCAAACCCUGACUUGUUCUUUUCCAACAUCAACACUAUCGCAAAGCUUUUCUGGACUCCGUAGUGGUGCAUUGAAACAACAAAAAGCAAUUUCAUAUUCUCCACAUCGAGAGUUUUGUCCUACAUUUUUUUCGUUUUCCAGUUUCACCAACAUUCACGAACACCCGACGGCGAUAGCGUUACGAUAAAUGUUUUCCGAUCAACCUAACAUUCUUUGUUCAUUUUGGUCUGAACCUGUCAUAAUUAAAGUUAGAUGCUGAUGCACUUUUAAUUUUAAUUUCAGUGUUGUUGUUAUCCGUAAGCACCGUUUCGUGUCAUUCGUGUUGGUAAGGUCCUCUGACCAUUAUAUUUUAUUCCUUCCAUAAUUUCAACUUGGUUUCUACUCGUAUUAUCAUUUAUUAAAUAUUUGACUUUUUUAUAUCAUCGUUGCAAUUUCUCAACUGCAAUUUGGUUAUUCUCUGGACCCGCUUUCAAACAAUUUAUUUUUGGAUUGCUCCGACGUUGUUGAAAUUUAAUGUCUUACCGUGCAAAAUGGCCAAAUGAGUAUGUGGUGAGAAUGAGUUCAAAUUCAUGAGUAUAAAUUAAGUGAGAUGAACGGGAAAAUCGUAUUUCCCAUAAUUCAUUCGUAACACGCUACGUACGACUGAAGGUCUUUGAGUAAUAAUUUACUGAUAAGAAAACUUGAAUUUGGUGAGGUUAAAAUAUAAGUUAGAAACUUUUAUAGGUUGUUGUUUGAUUUGAUUUUGAAGAUUGUGUGUGUUGCGGCCUAAAAUUUAGAGUAUUUCUCGAAUUCAAUGGAGUCGCCGCCAAAAUUUAUUUAAAAAUAGGGAAAAUAUUGAGAAACCCUUAAAAAUAGAAAGAAAAAAAAAACAAAAUGGUCUUUGAAACACUACGCCAAAAAUGACAUUUAACAGCGCCUAUUUUACAGCGCUUGUUAAACACAAGCGCUGUUGUAAUUAUAUUUUAAAAAUAACGGAACCUUUUACAGCGCUUUUGAUUCAAAGCGCUGUAAAACAAGCGAUGUAGUAGGUCAUAUAACGUUUGCGCAUCACGUUAUAAGGCUUUUACAACGCUUGUCAAAAAAACGCUGUAAAAGGAAGCGCUUUCGCGUAUCAGUUACAGCGUUUUUUUCACAAGCGCUGUAAAACACAUGCGCUUUCAUUGAAUUUAACUACUUAUUACAGCGCUUUUUUCACAAGCGCUGUAAAACACAUGCGCUUUCAUUGAAUUUAACUACCUAUUACAGCGCUUUUUUCACAAGCGCUGUAAAACACAUGCGCUUUCAUUGAAUUUAACUACCUAUUACAGCGCGUUUUUCACAAGCGCUGUAAAACACAUGCGCUUUCAUUGAAUUUAACUACCUAUUACAGCGCGUUUUUCACAAGCGCUGUAAAAUACAUCUUUAAAAUAAUUAUAUACGUUGGAAACCCUCAUAUCCUCUACAUCUUUCAAAUAAUUAUAUACGUUGGAAACCCUCAUAUCCUCUACAUCUUUCAAAUAAUUAUAUACGUUGCGAACCCUAAUAUCCUCUACGUACUGUGCGGCCAUCUACGUUGUCUAAGGUAUUUUUUACACAUGAUCUGUUAUGUUUUGAAAUUGUCAAAAAUUGUCAAAAACUCAUACCACAUGAUCUGUUCUGUUUUGAAAUUGUUAGUUGAUAUUGGUUUCUUUUUGAAACUUGUUGAUAUGUUUUGAAAGCUUAUUAUUUUUGUUACUGCAUUUAUAUAGGUGGUAUAAUAUGGAUAGGAAAUGGAUUUCAGCCAAUCGAUUGUCAAAAGAGUAUGAAAUUGGAGUGAAGGAGUUUGUUGAGUUUGCAGUGAA
rnacentral:lncRNA from 1 species